CCUACGGGAGGCAGCAGUGAGGAAUAUUGGUCAAUGGGAGAGAUCCUGAACCAGCCAAGCCGCGUGAGGGAAGACGGCUCUAUGGGUUGUAAACCUCUUUUGUCGGAGAACCAAACCCGGGACGUGUCCCGGACUGCGUGUCUCCGAAGAAAAAGCAUCGGCUAACUCCGUGCCAGCAGCCGCGGUAAUACGGAGGAUGCGAGCGUUAUCCGGAUUUAUUGGGUUUAAAGGGUGGGUAGGCGGUCCGUUAAGUCAGCGGUAAAAUUGCGGGGCGCAACCCCGUCGAGCCGUUGAAACUGGCGGACUUGAGUUGGCGAGAAGUACGCGGAAGGCGCGGUGUAGCGGUGAAAUGCAUAGAUAUCGCGCAGAACGCCGAUUGCGAAGGCAGCGUACCGGCGCCAGACUGACGCUGAGGCACGAAAGCGUGGGGAGCGAACAGGAUUAGAUACCCUUGUAGUC
rnacentral:rRNA from 1 species